rnacentral:snRNA from 1 species
AUACCUUAAACUUAUGAGUAAGGAAAAUAAUGAUUCAGGGUGACACCCAAAUCCUCACUGCUAAUGUGAGACGGAUUUUUGAACAGUUAAAAGUUGCUCCUAAGAUGGCUCGCCUACUUUGCGGGAUACCUGGGAGUCGUGACCUACCUG